GACGAACGCUGGCGGCGUGCUUAACACAUGCAAGUCGAACGGAAAGGCCCUGCUUUUGUGGGGUUCUCGAUUGGCGAACGGGUGAGUAACACGUGAGUAACCUGCCCUUGACUUUGGGAUAACUUCAGGAAACUGGGGCUAAUACCGGAUAGGAGCUCCUGCUGCAUGGUGGGGGUUGGAAAGUUUCGGCGUUUGGGGAUGGACUCGCGGCCUAUCAGCUUGUUGGUGGGGUAGUGGCUUACCAAGGCUUUGACGGGUAGCCGGCCUGAGAGGGUGACCGGCCACAUUGGGACUGAGAUACGGCACAGACUCCUACGGGAGGGAGCAGUGGGGAAUAUUGCACAAUGGGCGGAAGCCUGAUGCAGCAACGCCGCGUGCGGGAUGACGGCCUUCGGGUUGUAAACCGCUUUCGCCUGUGACGAAGCGUGAGUGACGGUAAUGGGUAAAGAAGCACCGGCUAACUAAGUG
rnacentral:rRNA from 1 species